rnacentral:rRNA from 1 species
CGCGUAGGCGGGUUUGUUAGUCAGAGGUGAAAUCCUACGGCUUAACCGUAGAACUGCCUUUGAUACUGCAGAUCUUGAGUACGGAAGAGAGAGACGGAAUUCCAGGUGUAGUGGUGAAAUACGUAGAUAUCUGGAAGAACACCAGUGGCGAAGGCGGUCUCUUGGUCCGUUACUGACGCUGAGGCGCGAAAGCGUGGGGAGCAAACA